UACGUAGGGUGCAGGCGUUAAUCGGAAUUACUGGGCGUAAAGCGUGCGUAGGCGGUUUGCUAAGACAGGUGUGAAAUCCCCGGGCUUAACCUGGGAACUGCGCUUGUAACUGGCAAGCUAGAGUGUGGCAGAGGGGGGUGGAAUUCCACGUGUAGCAGUGAAAUGCGUAGAGAUGUGGAGGAACACCGAUGGCGAAGGCAGCCCCCUGGGCUAACACUGACGCUCAUGCACGAAAGCGUGGGGAGCAAACAGG
rnacentral:rRNA from 1 species